rnacentral:rRNA from 1 species
AUUGAACGCUGGCGGCAUGCUUUACACAUGCAAGUCGAACGGCAGCGCGGGCUUCGGCCUGGCGGCGAGUGGCGAACGGGUGAGUAAUACAUCGGAACGUGCCCAGUAGUGGGGGAUAGCUCGGCGAAAGCCGGAUUAAUACCGCAUACGACCUGAGGGUGAAAGCGGGGGAUCUUCGGACCUCGCGCUAUUGGAGCGGCCGAUGGCAGAUUAGCUAGUUGGUGGGGUAAAGGCCUACCAAGGCGACGAUCUGUAGCUGGUCUGAGAGGACGACCAGCCACACUGGGACUGAGACACGGCCCAGACUCCUACGGGAGGCAGCGGUGGGGAAUUUUGGACAAUGGGCGAAAGCCUGAUCCAGCAAUGCCGCGUGUGAGAUGAAGGCCCUCGGGUUGUAAAGCACUUUUGGCGGGAACGAAAAGGACUGUGCCAAUACCACGGUUCGAUGACGGUACCCGCAGAAUAAGCACCGGCUAACUACGUG